GCAGCUCGUGGAGGCGCCGUAGCGUCGUCGUCGCCGAACUCUAGUGACGAUGAAGCUUCUUCAUCGGCCAACAUCACUAGCCGCUGCUCCCCCAAGGCUGUUUUCUCACUGGUAUCUAAGUUCAGCGAAUUCAAAAAGUAGCUAAUUAGAGACAUUGGCUUUCAUGGAAUUCUUGAUAUUCCUUCCAUCAGCAAGCUUAAUCUGAAGUUGUCUACUUGGUUGCUUAGUAAGCUUGACACAGAAGAGAGUUGUUUGGUAUUUGGUCCAUCCAGGCAUAUUUAUGUGCAUGAGGACGAUGUUGGUAUUGUUCUUGGCAUUUCUAACGGCGAUAUUGAUGUAAGCACUACUUCUGUGACUGAGGAGCAACUUGAUUUGUUGCGCUCUAGUAUUGGUCUUGUGGGUUCAGACCCGAAGAGUAUUAAGGGGAUUGAGUAUGUUCUUGAGAAGCAUUUGGAUGAUCAAUCGUCAAGUCAGGAGACUGAUAGCUUCAAGAUUGCAUUUGUUGUUUUCGUUGUUGCUCAUUUGCUAGCCUCUUGCACAAAGCAUGAUCAAGUGAACUUGGAUUUUUGGGGAGCUCUGAAAAAUCCUGCUGCAUUGGAAUGCUAUAAUUGGUGUCAUUAUGUUUAUGGACAUUUUGUAGAGGCAGCUCAGAAAAUUCGUUCUGAAAUUAUUAGUAAAGGCCGCGCUACUUACGUGCUUGGGUGUCACUACUUCUUGCAGAUAUUGUUUCUGGAUAACAUUGAUCUCAACAGGCUAAAUAAACCGCACAAUAUUGUUCCAAGGGUCAAGGUGUUUGAUCAAGAAUCAUUGAGGACUAUGGCUGUUAUGUGCGCUAGUAGAGGAGAACAUGAUUUUGGACACUUUAUUGGCAUAUGUACCUGUAUUUAACUUGAGAGUACAUCUUCUUUUCAUUCCGUAUAAUUUGGUUUUGUUAUGUACAUUUUCUUUUUGUCAUGUUAGAUUCGGUCUGCUCAAUGUUCUACGUACAUGCGGCACACAUAUCAGUUUCCACACAUGUCAACUCCUCCUCAAUCCAGUCGGGAACGUUUGGAGGUACCAUCAGGGCAAAGAUAGUCUCCACACAUGCCAGUACAUCGGCAGUCAGUUCAACCGAUAAAUCCGGACACCUUCUCAUUCAAGAGCCCAGCUAACUUUUCUGCUUACAUCCAUCAACGCCAUCCAGGCCUUGUAUGUUUCUUGUUCCCACUUUUUUUUUCUUUAAUUGCAUAUCUAUGUCUUUAACUGAGCUUUUGAUAACUACUUAAUUUGCGCAGGUAAGAACAUAUUGUAUGGACUAUAUUAAGAAUCACAAUGCACUUACGAUGAAAGAAGUAUCUGAUUUGCGGGCUUCAAUAAUGAGACGGAAUGCACACCUUGUCGAUUGGUCAGCUGAUCAGAUAGGCACUGUUCAGAUGCAAAUGAUGCACAAAAAAUCAGCUGCUCCCGAAGCUAGAUCUCCUGUCAUACCUAGCAGGGUAUCAACAUAUGGUAAAGAAGAAUCUCGUGUCAAGUCCAAGGACGGACAUAUAUUUUUAAGAGGCCUUCUGAUACUUUGGAUGAAACACCAGCUAAGAAGUUGAAGGCAGUUAUAGGUUACGGUAUCCAACCACCAUCCUUUGAUCUCGGGGUUGAGGACACACCACCUCGCAUGUGCGAAGUUACUCCUAGAGACAAAAUAUUCAAAAUAGAGCCCUUUAAUGCUCGCCAGCAGGCUUGUGCUACACCUCCAUCUGUUCAGCAACCUUCUCGUGAUACAAUUGCAUCAGCACAACAACCUUCUUGCGGCGUUGUCUCGCUAUCUCCGACUGCGUCGAGCAAACACCUUGCCCAAUGUGUUGUGCUUGAUAUUGUACAUGUUGCAGAGGAAGGGAUUGAUCCAGUGGGUAAAAUACUCUAUGGCCAGUUGAUAACUGACUCAUUUGAUAAAAUUGUUGUACCACCUUGUCCAUCACCCGAUGUACCAUGGAGUACAGUGCAAUCAUCCACAAAACCUGAUCCAGCUAUUAUCGAACGCCUAAUCCAUUGUUGCAGCGAGCUUUCAGAACCCGUAAUACGACGUGAAUGGAUUGUCCAUAAGCUACCAAGGUAUCUGGUCUUAAGUGGGUCAGAGAUUAUCCAAGCAUUGGCACACGGUGAGGCAGCUGAUAGUGAUGUUGUUGAUGUGUUAGUCCGUCGUCUUUACCAGCUGGACACAAGCACACAAUCUGACAAUGUCCUUGCAAGGUGGCGCCAC